AUUGAACGCUGGCGGCAGGCCUAACACAUGCAAGUCGAGCGGAUGAAGGGAGCUUGCUCCUGGAUUCAGCGGCGGACGGGUGAGUAAUGCCUAGGAAUCUGCCUGGUAGUGGGGGAUAACGUCCGGAAACGGGCGCUAAUACCGCAUACGUCCUGAGGGAGAAAGUGGGGGAUCUUCGGACCUCACGCUACCAGAUGAGCCCAGGUCGGAUUAGCUAGUUGGUGGGGUAAAGGCCUACCAAGGCGACGAUCCGUAACUGGUCUGAGAGGAUGAUCAGUCACACUGGAACUGAGACGCGGUCCAGACUCCUACGGGAGGCAGCAGUGGGGAAUAUUGGACAAUGGGCGAAAGCCUGAUCCAGCCAUGCCGCGUGUGUGAAGAAGGUCUUCGGAUUGUAAAGCACUUUAAGUUGGGAGGAAGGGCAGUAAGUUAAUACCUUGCUGUUUUGACGUUACCAACAGAAUAAGCACCGGCUAACUUCGUG
rnacentral:rRNA from 1 species